UCUCGGUUGUUCCAGAGACUUCUUCAGUUUCUCUCUCUUUCUCUCACUCAGUUCUUCAUCAACUUUGCCUUCAAUCCUUACGUUUUCAUGGUAUUAGAGCAGGAUGAUCCUCGGAUUCAUCUCUGUUACUUGUUAUCGAUUGCGUUGGAAGUUUUAUUGAAGGUUUUCUCGGAUAUUUGUGAGAGAUUUUGUUUACGGAUAGAACGAUGUGUACUGAACGGAUAAUCGGAGCUUUUACUGCUGUUUGAUGCUUCUAUCUUCACUCAGUGGAUGUUUUGGGUGAUUUUCCGACAUCCCUGACCUUUUUCCGGUGAUUCUU
rnacentral:lncRNA from 1 species